rnacentral:rRNA from 1 species
GACGAACGCUGGCGGCGUGCUUAACACAUGCAAGUCGAACGAUGAAGCCGGAGCUUGCUCUGGUGAAUUAGUGGCGAACGGGUGAGUAACACGUGAGUAACCUGCCCUUGACUCUGGGAUAACUGCGGGAAACUGUAGCUAAUACCGGAUACGACCCUCGGAGGCAUCUCCUGGGGGUGGAAAGAAUUUCGGUCAGGGAUGGACUCGGGGCCUAUAGGCUAGUUGGUGAGGUAAAGGCUCACCAAGGCGACGACGGGUAGCCGGCCUGAGAGGGUGACCGGCCACACUGGGACUGAGACACGGCCCAGACUCCUACGGGAGGCAGCAGUGGGGAAUAUUGCACAAUGGGCGCAAGCCUGAUGCAGCCAUGCCGCGUGUAUGAAGAAGGCCUUCGGGUUGCAAAGUACUUUCAGCGGGGAGGAAGGCGGUGAAGUUAAUAACUUCACCGAUUGACGUUACCCGCAGAAGAAGCACCGGCUAA